rnacentral:rRNA from 1 species
GUUAAGUCCUGGCAAUAGGGCGCGGUAAUACGGAGGGUGCAAGCGUUACUCGGAAUCGCUGGGCGUAAAGAGCGUGUAGGCUGGUGAAUAAGUCAGAAGUGAAAUCCAAUAGCUCAACUAUUGAACUGCUUUUGAAACUGUAUGCCUAGAAUGUGGGAGAGGCAGAUGGAAUUUCUGGUGUAGGGGUAAAAUCCGUAGAGAUCAGAAGGAAUACCGAUUGCGAAGGCAGCUCACUGGAGCGCAACUGACGCUGAAGCUCGAAAGUGCGGGUAUCGAACAGGAUUAGAUACCCUAGUAGUC